rnacentral:misc_RNA from 1 species
GAUGAAGAACGCAGCGAAGUGCGAUAAGUAGUGUGAAUUGCAGAAUUCCGUGGAUCAUCGAAUUUUUGAACGCAAAUUGCACUCUCUGGUAUUCCGGAGAGUAUGCCUGUUUGAGGGUCAUUAAAAUCAAAAUCGAUUUGUUUACUUUGGUAACUUGGUAACAUUUUCGGAAUUGGGUCAUCUUAAACCUUCAGGUUCAAGAGGCUUAAAAUUGAUCAUUUUUUGGUAUGAAUUAAGCGUAUUUAGGAUCACUUAUCACGCGCUUGACUCCUAUCGGAUGUUUAUUAGGCGUGACCAUGAUCAUGGUUUCGCGCCCAUAAUCUUUCCAUGAAAUGACCUCAAAUCAGGUAGGAAUACCCGCUGAACUUAAGCAUAUCAAUAAGCGGAGGA